UUGAUCAACAAAAAAAAGUUAAAUUUUUUUGUCUAGUGAUGAAGUUUCAUCUUCCAUUCCUCCAUUACAUCUUGGAAAGUUUGACAUGGAAGUAGUGAGGGAGUCUGCUGCUCACUAGAUCGUGAUACAUGAACAUCCAUUUACUAUUUUGGAGGAAGUUCGGAAGAGCACAC